AUCAUCUGACGAGUCCCAAAUAGGACGAAACGCGCGUCCUGGAU
rnacentral:hammerhead_ribozyme from 1 species